GCACCCAGCUCAAUGGCCACUCUAUCACGCUCCAUCCCCAUUCCCUUCUUCAUACUCAUACUACUACUCUCCAUCGUCUCUUCUUCUUCUUCUUCUUCUAGCCAGGACAACAGUACUGGCAGCGACACCGACCUUGCCGCGCUGCUAGCUUUCAAAUCCCAGCUCGCUGACCCUCGCCGUGUCCUUGCCAGCAACUGGAGUGCAGACACAUCCUUUUGCAAUUGGGUCGGUGUCUGGUGCAGCCGUCGCAGGCAACGAGUAACCGCUCUGUCGUUGCCCGACACGCCUCUCGUUGGAUCUGUGUCACCUCACGUUGGUAACCUUUCUUUCCUCUCCAUCCUCGACCUCACCGACACCAAUCUAACGGGUUCCAUUCCAGCCGAACUUGGUAGGCUACAUCGUCUUACGUACCUCAGUUUUUUCGGAAAUAGCUUGUCAAACACCAUACCUACUACCCUCGGGAACCUCACGAGGCUCAAGUUUCUUCAUCUACCUUAUAAUCAACUCUCAGGCCAGACCCCUCCUAAGAUGCUACUUCAUAUGCACAACCUUAGGGAGAUUAAUAUGUAUGCGAAUGACUUGAGUGGCCAACUACCAUCAUAUUUUUUCAACAAUACGCCUUCCUUGACAUACAUCAAUUUUGGAAAUAACAGCUUGUCAGGUCCUAUGCCACAAGCGGUUGCACACCUAUCCAUGCUCGAGGGAUUGAACCUUGAGGUUAAUCAACUCUCCGGCCUAGUACCAGAAUCCAUGUACAACAAGUCCAGGUUGCAAACGUUGGCCCUUGCAAGUAAUGGUAACCUAGCUGGAAUGUUUCCGAGCAAUCAAAGUUUUAACCUUCCAAUGUUGAAAUUUAUUUCGUUAUCUGAUAACAAAUUUUUUGGCCGGUUUCCAUCGGAGCUUGCAUCAUGCGAGUACCUGGAGAUAAUUGAUUUGGGUGAAAAUUCAUUUGAGGGCAUUGUGCCAACAGGGUUAUCCAAAUUAUCCCACCUCCAGGUUCUUCACUUAGGUUAUAAUAACAUUGUUGGUCCAAUCCCAACUGCUCUUAGCAAUCUUACCAGUCUUACAUAUCUAGAUCUCAGCGGCGGAAAUUUGACAGGGGAGAUUCCACAAGAAUUAGGUCUCAUGCUGGAACUCUCAUUUCUGUCUCUUGGAUCCAAUCAAUUGAUUGGAGAAAUUCCAGCUUCCCUUGGCAAUUUAUCAAAAUUGUCCGUUCUAAUUUUGGCAAAUAGUCAACUUUCUGGUCAAGUACCAAUAACACUUGGGGAAAAUGCAGCUUUGAGCAAGCUUAUUUUGUCAAGUAACAAUUUGGAGGGGAAUCUAGACUUCUUGUCAGCGCUUUCCCAGUGCAAACAACUCCAGGUCCUUACAAUAGAAGCUAAUUCUUUCACUGGCAUCCUCCCAAGUCUUGUAGGAAACCUUAGUUCAAAACUUGUUACUUUCAUGGCAAAUUUUAACAUGGUCCCUCUUACCUCCUUUUUUUACAUGUGAGGUAAGAAGGUAAGAGUCAAUCAAGCAGGCAUGGACUGCGGAGGAGAACCGGCACGGUGAUCUCAUGAACAAGUAUAUUAAUACUGGGAGGGCUGAUAUGAGGCAGGUGGAGAAGACCAUACAGUAUUUGGUUGGUGCUGGAAUGGAUCCGAAAACCGAGGCCAACCCUUAUGAGUUUUUCAUUUACACAUCUUUCCAAGAGAGAGCAACCUUCAUAUCUCACGGCAACACUGCAAGGCACGCCAGGAAGUACGGGGACUUGAAGCUGGCCCAGAUAUGCGGCACCAUAGCGGCUGACGAAAGGCGCCAUGAGCUUGCUUAUACCAAGAUAGUGGAGAAGCUCUUCGAGGUCGAUCCCGACUAUACGGUUCUAGCCUUCGCUAGCAUUAUGAAGAAGAAGAUCACGAUGCCCGCACACCUGAUGUAUGAUGGGCAGGCGUUUGCACUUCACCACGGUGGCACAGUGGCUGGGCGUUUGCACCGCCAUGGACCACGUACGCCUAAAUCCUCGAGUUCCUGGUCAAGAGGUGGAACGUCGCCGACCUCACUGGGUUGUCCGGGGAAGGGCAGUGCGCUCAGGAUUAGCUCUGCUCCCUAUGACAAGGUUUAGGAAGCUGGUGGAGCGAGGUCAGGGGAGCGGGAAGCAGUUGCUGAUUGUUCCUCUCAGCUGGAUCUAAGGCCGGAAAGUGCAGCUUUGACUAAGAUUUCAAGACAGGUAUAUGUAUACCAUUCUAUUUUUUUGUAUUGUACUUGUCUUCAAAAUCUGCAAUAACUGUUGAGUUAUGUAAAGACAUCUACACUGCAUAUGCCAAAUAGCUUGAAAUGACAUAAUUAU